CUGGGCGUAAGCGCGCGUAGGCGGCGGCACAAGUCAGGGGUGAAAUCCCACAGCUCAACUGUGGAAUUGCCUUUGAAACUAGGUCGCUAGAGUGUCGGAGGGGAUAGCGGAAUUGCUAAUGUAGAGGUGAAAUUCGUAGAUAUUAGCAGGAACACCGGUGGCGAAGGCGGCUAUCUGGACGACAACUGACGCUGAGGCGCGAAAGCGUGGGGAUCAAACAGGAUUAGAUACCCUGGUAGUCCACGCCGUAAACGAUGGGUGCUAGCUGUUGGGAGGUUACCUCUCAGUAGCGUAGUUAACGCGUUAAGCACCCCGCCUGGGGAGUACGGUCGCAAGAUUAAAACUCAAAGAAAUUGACGGGGACCCGCACAAGCGGUGGAACAUGUGGUUUAAUUCGAGGCAACGCGAAGAACCUUACCAGGGCUUGACAUGCUCUCUAUGGGAUCCCGAAAAGGAUCCCUUCACUUCGGGUGGGAGAUGCACAGGUGCUGCAUGGCUGUCGUCAGCUCGUGUCGUGAGAUGUUGGGUUAAGUCCCGCAACGAGCGCAACCCUCGUCCUCUGUUGCUAACAGGUUAGGCUGAGCACUCUGAGGAAACUGCCAGUGAUAAGCCGGAGGAAGGUGGGGAUGA
rnacentral:rRNA from 1 species